rnacentral:rRNA from 1 species
UACGAAGGGGGCUAGCGUUAAUCGGAAUUACUGGGCGUAAAGCGCGCGUAGGCGGCUGUGCAAGUCGGGUGUGAAAUCCCCAGGCUUAACCUGGGAACUGCAUUCGAGACUGCAUUGCUAGAGUAUGGGAGAGGGAAGUGGAAUUUCCGGUGUAGCGGUGAAAUGCGUAGAUAUCGGAAGGAACAUCAGUGGCGAAAGCGACUUCCUGGACCAAUACUGACGCUCAUGUGCGAAAGCGUGGGGAGCAAACAGG